UACGGAGGAUGCAAGCGUUAUCCGGAUUCAUUGGGUUUAAAGGGUGCGUAGGCGGCCCGGUAAGUCAGCGGUGAAAGUUUGCGGCUCAACCGUAAAAUUGCCGUUGAUACUGUCGGGCUUGAGUUCAGAUGAAGUGGGCGGAAUGAGUAGUGUAGCGGUGAAAUGCUUAGAUAUUACUCAGAACACCGAUUGCGAAGGCAGCCCACUAAACUGCGACUGACGCUGAUGCACGAAAGCGUGGGGAUCGAACAGGAUUAGAUA
rnacentral:rRNA from 1 species